rnacentral:lncRNA from 1 species
AAGCUUUGAAAUCUCCACUCCAGGACCAACUUUCUUCUUCUGGCUCAAUCCUAGUGAUUCUGACACAUUUUAGAAACAUUAGUUCUAGAUUUGGCCUGACUUUUGUUUUACAACAGUCGAGAGUCUAAUUUGGACUUUUCUCUUUCCCUCAAACUUAGUGACUUCCCUACUCACCACAACAUGCUAGUUCCUAUGGGAUAUAUGUCAUCAUCAGUAUGGUAGUGACAUCAGUAAUACAUUACUUUCAAAUCCCUGGUGUGUGACAUCAUUCAGCUAUGGUCUAUAUAAAACAUUGUUCCUAUGAAACUGACAUAAUUUCACUUAACAUGGCCAUUUUAUGGAACCAAUUAACAACAUUUAUAUGAGUAUAUGUCUGUAUAUGAGUAAGUGUGUCAGUUAUCCUAAUAACUAAACUUGUCAAAUUCAAUUAGUUUGGAAUAGAAAAAAGUUAUUAGCCUGAUAUGAAAAUUUAUAUGAUUAAAUAAAGAACAGAUGAAUGAAAAUUUCUUCUGUAAAAUAAUACCUUAUAUAUAGAAUGAUUGCUUAUUUUCAAAGGGAUUUUGCAAUAAUUUUUUCUCUUGAUUUGUAAAAGUUCUACUUUAUAGCUUAAUAGAAUGGAGUUGAACCUGAAUUCUCAAGUACUAUGCUAGUGAAGACCCUAGCAACUGAUGGUGAGGAGUCCAGAAAAUCCUUGUAUGAAAGCUUCAGCUAAAGUUUGACGGAAUUUAGAGAUCAUAAGAAGCAAAGAUAAGGGAGCAAGUAAAUGUAAUGUCAAAUAGGAAACAAUCAUUUUUUAUGAAUAAAGGAGAAAUGAAGACAGAGUGGAAACAAUCAGCAUACACAAAUGUCUUAGAGAGAAAAUUUUAUUUUUCUUGUUAAAAAUCAUACUAUAACAUGAAUAUGCCUUUGUUGGUUUAGAAAAUAUCUACAAGAGUUACAUUUGAAAUUUGUUUCAUUUUAGUUAUUUUCUAGAUUAUUAUCUUUGAAGCUACAAUCAUUUAAUUCAGUAAAUUGGCAAACCAAUUUGUUCACAGAUUCUUGAGUUAAAAUGAAUUGAUUUGAACCAUAAAUCAUGGACUAAAAGUCUAAGAGGUAUGGAAUGGUUUUAAGAUAAACUAGGAUUGGGGAAAUAGUGGAGAAAAAUAAAGGAAAAGUAGAGCGAAGUAAGUCUAAUCUG